AUCCGGCUGACGAGUCCCAAAUAGGACGAAACGCGCAUCCUGGAU
rfam:Schistosoma mattheei strain Denwood, Zambia genome assembly, scaffold: SMTD_scaffold0001303